CGCGUAGGCGGCCUGAUAAGUAGGGGGUGAAAUCCUGAGGCUUAACCUCAGGGCUGCCUUCUAAACUGUCAGGCUCGAGCACAGUAGAGGCAGGUGGAAUUCCCGGUGUAGCGGUGGAAUGCGUAGAGAUCGGGAAGAACAUCAGUGGCGAAGGCGGCCUGCUGGGCUGUUGCUGACGCUGAGGCGCGACAGCGUGGGGAGCAAACA
rnacentral:rRNA from 1 species